AAGAGUUUAUCCUAACCUUAAUUUAGGGUUCUAUUCCGGAGAGGGAGCCUGAGAAACGUAAGUUCCCCAAGUGCCGUUCGUUAUUCCAUAGGCUAACAGUUGUUAUAGGGCUACCACAUCCAAGGAAGGCAGCAGGCGCCGCAAAUUACCCAAUCCUGAUACAGGGAGGUAGUGACAAUAAAUACUGAUACAGGGCUCUUUUGGGUCUUGUAAUUGGAAUGAGUACAAUUUAAAUCCCUUAACGAGGAACAAUUGGAGGGCAAGUCUGGUGCCAGCAGCCGCGGUAAUUCCAGCUCCAAUAGCGUAUAUUAAAGUUGUUGCAGUUAAAAAGCUCGUAGUUGAACCUUGGGCCUGGCUGGCCGGUCCGGCUCACCGCGUGCACUGGUCCGGCCGGGCCUUUCCUCCUGGGGAGCCGCAUGCCCUUCACUGGGUGUGUCGGGGAACAGGGCUUUUACUUUGAAACAAUUAGGAGUGUUCAAAGCAGGCUAUGCUCGAAUACAUUAGCAUGGAUAUAGA
rnacentral:rRNA from 1 species